UACGUCCUACGGGGCGCAGCAGUGAGGAAUAUUGGUCAAUGGGCUUACGCCUGAACCAGCCAUGCCGCGUGCAGGACGACGGCUCUACGAGUUGUAAACUGCUUUUGUACCGGGGUAAAAUGCCUUACGAGUAGGGUUUUGAAAGUACGGUACGAAUAAGGAUCGGCUAACUCCGUGCCAGCAGCCGCGGUAAUACGGAGGAUCCGAGCGUUAUCCGGAUUCAUUGGGUUUAAAGGGUGCGUAGGUUGUUUUAUAAGUUAGCGGUGAAAUACCGAUGCUCAACAUCGGGGCUGCCGCUAAUACUG
rnacentral:rRNA from 1 species